rnacentral:rRNA from 1 species
CGAGCACGCGCGUGUGGCAUAUCAAUAAGCGGAGGAAAAGAAACUAACAAGGAUUCCCCUAGUAACGGCGAGUGAAGCGGGAAGAGCUCAAAUUUGAAAUCUUCAAGGUUCUACCUUGACGAAUUGUAGUUUAUAGAAGUGUUUUCUGUUAGUAGGAGUGGCAAAAGUUCUUUGGAAUAGGACAUCAUAGAGGGUGAGAAUCCCGUAUUUGGUCAUUCCUCCUAGCUUUGUGAUACACUUUCAACGAGUCGGAUUGUUUGGGAAUGCAGUCCAAAAUGGGUGGUAAAUUUCAUCUAAAGCUAAAUAUUGGCGAGAGACCGAUAGCGAACAAGUACCGUGAGGGAAAGAUGAAAAGAACUUUGAAAAGAGAGUCAAACAGUACGUGAAAUUGUCAAAAGGGAAGCGUUUGACACCAGUGUUGUUUUUCCGAAAAUCAAUUACGAAUGUUUUAUUUUUGAGGAGUUAUGACUUCAUCGGCUUGCUUCUCUCUUUAUGAAACUUUCUUAAUGCACUUUUCGGUUAACAAGUCAACAUCAAUUUCUUUUGUUGUAAAAGGGUAUGAGGAAGGCUGGCUUUCUUUUCGGAGAAAGUGUUUAUAGCCUUGUACCUCUGCAAUCGGAGAGAUUGAGGUCUGCAGCGUAGAUCCUUCGGGGUUAGAUACAGUUUGUGCUAAGUUAUAGCUUUUCAUAGACAACUUGUUGACUAUGUUUAGUCUUGUAGCUUACUCGCUUAUGCUAUUUUACCUACGCUUAGGAUGUUGAUGUGAUACUGCGAGCA